rnacentral:tRNA from 1 species
AAGACGCUAGUUAAACCAGCUAUAACACUGCUUUGUCAAGGCAGAAUCGUGGGUUAAAACCCCGCGCGUCUUA